GCACUUCAGCAGCACAUACACUAAAAUUGGAAUGAUACAGAGAAGAUUAGCAUGGCCCCUGUGCAAGAAUGACGUGCAAAUUUGUAAAGCGUUCCAAGUUUAA
ensembl:snRNA U6 U6 spliceosomal RNA